GUCGUGAGAUGUUGGGUUAAGUCCCGCAACGAGCGCAACCCUUAAGCUUAGUUGCCGUCAUUAAGUUGGGCACUCUAGGUUGACUGCCGGUGACAAACCGGAGGAAGGUGGGGAUGACGUCAAAUCAUCAUGCCCCUUAUGAUUUGGGCUACACACGUGCUACAAUGGAUAAUACAAAGGGCAGCGAACCCGCGAGGUCAAGCAAAUCCCAUAAAAUUAUUCUCAGUUCGGAUUGUAGUCUGCAACUCGACUACAUGAAGCUGGAAUCGCUAGUAAUCGUAGAUCAGCAUGCUACGGUGAAUACGUUCCCGGGUCUUGUACACACCGCCCGUCACACCACGAGAGUUUGUAACACCCGAAGCCGGUGGAGUAACCUUUUAUUAGGAGCUAGCCGUCGAAGGUGGGACAGAUGAUUGGGGUGAAGUCGUAACAAGGUAGCCGUAUCGGAAGGUGCGGCUGGAUCACCUC
rnacentral:rRNA from 1 species